rnacentral:rRNA from 1 species
GGCUUCCGGUUAUGCCUGUUGUACUCCUGUGAUGACUCCUGGAUAACUUUUCACUGAUCGCAGUCCGGCCUUGUGUCGGCGACGGAUCUUUUCAAAUGUCUGCCCUAUCAACUGUCGAUGGUAGGUGACCUGCCUACCAUGGUGAUAACGGGUAACGGGGAAUCAGGGUUCGAUUCCGGAGAGGGAGCCUGAGAAACGGCUACCACUUCUAAGGAAGGCAGCAGGCGCGAAAAUUACCCACUCCCGGCACGGGGAGGUAGUGACGAAAAAUACGAAUACGGGACUCAACUGAGGCUCCGUAAUUCGAAUGAGUACACUUUAAAUCCUUUAACGAGGACCAAUUGGAGGGCAAGUCUGGUGCCAGCAGCCGCGGUAACUCCAGCUCCAAAAGCGUAUAUUAAAGUUGCUGCAGUUAAAAAGCUCGUAGUUGGAUCUGGGGUGGUGUGGCCACAUGCCGUUGCUCGUGCUACUGUCUAGACUACGGUCAAGGCGGGAGUGCGGGUCGGUGUAGUGGCCGUGCAACC